rnacentral:lncRNA from 1 species
GGAGCAUACCUAUUGGAGGGAGCAGUAUAUGGAGGGAGCAGUAUUUUACGGGGAGCGUACCCUAUGGGAGAGCAGUAUUUAUGGAGGAGCGGUACCUAUGGAGGAGCGUACCUCGAGAGCAGUACCCAUAGGAGGAGCAAGUACCUAUGGAGGAGCAGUACCUAUGGAGGGAGGAGCAUACAUGAGGGAGGGGAGCAGUGACUAUGGAGGAGCAGUAUCUAUAGGAGCAUAAGCUGAUGGAGAGCAGUAGCGCUAUGGAGGAGCAGUACCCUAGAGGGAGGAGGCAGGCAGUACCUAGUGGAGAGCAGUAUGUUACGGGAGGAGCAGUACCGAACUUGGAGGAGAGUUAUCUAUGGAGGAGCAUAGACCUAUGGAGGAGCAGUAUUUACGGAGGAGGGCAGUACCUAUGGAGGAGCAGUACUAUGGAGGAGCAGUAUUAUGAGGAAGCAGUAUUUACAGAGGAGCAAUAUGGAGGAGAGUACCUAGGUGAGGAGCAGUGCCUGAUGGAGGAGCAGUAUUUAUGGAGGAGCAGUAUUUACGGAGGAGCAGUACCUAUGGAGGAGGAGUAUCUAUGGAGGAGCAGUACCUAUGGAGGAGCAGUACCUAUGGAGGAGCAGUACCUAUGGAGGAGCAGUACCUAUGGAGGAGCAGUAUUUACGGAGGAGCAUCUCUAUGUGGAGGACCUGACUGUUGGAGAAACAGGUGGGAUGCACUGAUGAAGCGUUUCGGGCCUGUUCGGCGUUUAGCUUUGGGCGGUAUAACCGUAUACCAGGGGAAAUAGCAACGGGGCGGUUUUUCAAUACUGUUGAAAUUAUUUAUUUUAAGUUUUUCAAUACAUUUUUAUAUUUGUAGCUACUUUUUAAGUACACACAUGCACUUAACUUGCGCAAUACGUUAGGAGAUAAAGCAGAGCUAGAAUGUCUACUAGAGCUGUUGCCAGAUAAUUGAAUGUACGUUUCUCUACCAUAAGCCGCCUCCAAUUUGGCAUAUUCGCUUGUAAAACUCACCAAAAUAACAUUCGGUAGCUCCUACCUAUAUAUGUAGAACUUCGUGAACUGGACUGCUUCUCUUUGCAAUAAGUCAUUUUAGUUUGCGCACAUUAUCAUAUUUAGUUAGCCUCCAUUCGAAACUUGUGCUAAUUUUGUUAGCAUUAUAGACUACUUUUGUCCAGAGCCUAUGGACCUAAUUAAAAGUAGUGCACUACAUGGGGAAGUGGGUUGUGUUUGGGACGCAGGCAGAGAUUGCCAGUGAGAAUGCAGUACUAACCCAUAGCCUCCAUGCCAGGGGGUUUGCCUAGGAUGGGCCGCAGCCCAGGAGUGGUGGAGGUGCCUGGGGUGGGGGCGUCGCUACGAGGGGUGGGGGUGGUCGACUUCAGGCCUGGCAUUGAUGACUUGUCAUUCUGCACAAGAGGAGAGAGAGAGGGGGAGGGACGGAGAGGAAGAUGGAGGGAGAGGGAUAGAUAGAGAAAUGG